CCUACGGGAGGCAGCAGUGAGGAAUAUUGGUCAAUGGUCGUGAGACUGAACCAGCCAAGUCGCGUGAGGGAUGACUGCCCUAUGGGUUGUAAACCUCUUUUGUCAGGGAACAAAGGCGGCCACGUGUCGCCGGAUGUGUGUACCUUAAGAAAAAGCAUCGGCUAACUCCGUGCCCGCAGCCGCGGUAAUACGGAGGAUUCGAGCGUUAUCCGGUUUUAUUGGGUUUAAAGGGUGCGUAGGGGGUCGUGUAAGUAGGCGGGGAAAGUCUGGGGCUCAACCCCAGCCCGGCGUUGAAACUGGCAGUCUGGAGUUGGGGAGAGGUAUGCGGAAUGCGUGGUGUAGCGGUGAAAUGCAUAGAUAUCGCGCAGAACUCCGAUUGCGAAGGCAGCAUACCGGCGCCCAACUGACGCUGAGGCACGAAAGCGUGGGUAUCGAACAGGAUUAGAUACCCUAGUAGUC
rnacentral:rRNA from 1 species